AGUGAACGCUGGCGGUAGGCCUAACACAUGCAAGUCGAACGGCAGCACAGUAAGAGCUUGCUCUUACGGGUGGCGAGUGGCGGACGGGUGAGGAAUACAUCGGAAUCUACUUUUUCGUGGGGGAUAACGUAGGGAAACUUACGCUAAUACCGCAUACGACCUACGGGUGAAAGCAGGGGAUCUUCGGACCUUGCGCGAUUGAAUGAGCCGAUGUCGGAUUAGCUAGUUGGCGGGGUAAAGGCCCACCAAGGCGACGAUCCGUAGCUGGUCUGAGAGGAUGAUCAGCCACACUGGAACUGAGACACGGUCCAGACUCCUACGGGAGGCAUCAGUGGGGAAUAUUGGACAAUGGGCGCAAGCCUGAUCCAGCCAUACCGCGUGGGUGAAGAAGGCCUUCGGGUUGUAAAGCCCUUUUGUUCGGAAAGAAAAGCAGCAGGUUAAUACCCCGCUGUUCUGACGGUACCCAAAGAAUAAGCACCGGCUAACUUCGUG
rnacentral:rRNA from 1 species